GUUAGUAUAGUUUAACAAAAACAUUAGGUAGUGGCCCUAAAAACAGAAGUUCAAUUCUUCUUUCGAACC
rnacentral:tRNA from 1 species